UCGACGGCAGCACGGGAGCAAUCCUGGUGGCGAGUGGCGAACGGGUGAGUAAUGUAUCGGAACGUACCUUUCAGUGGGGGAUAACGUAGCGAAAGUUACGCUAAUACCGCAUAUUCUGUGAGCAGGAAAGCAGGGGAUCGCAAGACCUUGCGCUGAUUGAGCGGCCGAUAUCAGAUUAGCUAGUUGGUGAGGUAAAGGCUCACCAAGGCGACGAUCUGUAGCGGGUCUGAGAGGAUGAUCCGCCACACUGGAACUGAGACACGGUCCAGACUCCUACGGGAGGCAGCAGUGGGGAAUUUUGGACAAUGGGGGCAACCCUGAUCCAGCCAUGCCGCGUGAGUGAAGAAGGCCUUCGGGUUGUAAAGCUCUUUCAGCCGGGAAGAAAACGCAUGGGUUAAUACCCUGUGUGGAUGACGGUACCGGAAUAAGAAGCACCGGCUAACUACGUGCCAGCAGCCGCGGUAAUACGUAGGGUGCGAGCGUUAAUCGGAAUUACUGGGCGUAAAGCGUGCGCAGGCGGUUUGUUAAGAUAGGCGUGAAAUCCCCGGGCUCAACCUGGGAACUGCGUUUAUGACUGGCAGGCUAGAGUAUGGCAGAGGGGGGUGGAAUUC
rnacentral:rRNA from 1 species